rnacentral:rRNA from 1 species
CUACGGGCUGCACCAGUGAGGAAUAUUGCACAAUGGGGGGAAUCCUGAUGCAGCAACGCCGCGUGGAGGAUGACGCAUUUCGGGGUGUAAACUCCUUUUAUAUGUCAAGAAAAUGACGGUAGCAUAUGAAUAAGCACCGGCUAACUCCGUGCCAGCAGCCGCGGUAAUACGGAGGGUGCAAGCGUUACUCGGAAUCACUGGGCGUAAAGGACGCGUAGGCGGGUUGGAAAGUCAGGUGUGAAAUCCUACAGCUUAACUGUAGAACUGCACUUGAAACUUCUAAUCUAGAGUAUGGGAGGGGGAGAUGGAAUUAGUGGUGUAGGGGUAAAAUCCGUAGAUAUCACUAGGAAUACCUAAAGCGAAGGCGAUCUCCUGGAACAUUACUGACGCUAAGGCGUGAAAGCGUGGGGAGCAAACAGGAUUAGAUACCCCCGUAGUC